AGGACGAACGCUGGCGGCGUGCUAAUACAUGCAAGUCGAACGCUUCUUUCCUCCCGAGUGCUUGCACUCAAUUGGAAAGAGGAGUGGCGGACGGGUGAGUAACACGUGGGUAACCUACCCAUCAGAGGGGGAUAACACUUGGAAACAGGUGCUAAUACCGCAUAACAGUUUAUGCCGCAUGGCAUAAGAGUGAAAGGCGCUUUCGGGUGUCGCUGAUGGAUGGACCCGCGGUGCAUUAGCUAGUUGGUGAGGUAACGGCUCACCAAGGCCACGAUGCAUAGCCGACCUGAGAGGGUGAUCGGCCACACUGGGACUGAGACACGGCCCAGACUCCUACGGGAGGCAGCAGUAGGGAAUCUUCGGCAAUGGACGAAAGUCUGACCGAGCAACGCCGCGUGAGUGAAGAAGGUUUUCGGAUCGUAAAACUCUGUUGUUAGAGAAGAACAAGGACGUUAGUAACUGAACGUCCCCUGACGGUAUCUAACCAGAAAGCCACGGCUAACUACGUGCCAGCAGCCGCGGUAAUACGUAGGUGGCAAGCGUUGUCCGGAUUUAUUGGGCGUAAAGCGAGCGCAGGCGGUUUCUUAAGUCUGAUGUGAAAGCCCCCGGCUCAACCGGGGAGGGUCAUUGGAAACUGGGAGACUUGAGUGCAGAAGAGGAGAGUGGAAUUCCAUGUGUAGCGGUGAAAUGCGUAGAUAUAUGGAGGAACACCAGUGGCGAAGGCGGCUCUCUGGUCUGUAACUGACGCUGAGGCUCGAAAGCGUGGGGAGCAAACAGGAUUAGAUACCCUGGUAGUCCACGCCGUAAACGAUGAGUGCUAAGUGUUGGAGGGUUUCCGCCCUUACAGUGCUGCAGCAAACGCAUUAAGCACUCCGCCUGGGGAGUACGACCGCAAGGUUGAAACUCAAAGGAAUUGACGGGGGCCCGCACAAGCGGUGGA
rnacentral:rRNA from 1 species